rnacentral:rRNA from 1 species
UUACUGAGUGAGGGCCCUCUGGGUCCAACCUCCCACCCGUGUUUAUUGUACCUUGUUGCUUCGGUGCGCCCGCCUCACGGCCGCCGGGGGGCUUCUGCCCCCGGGUCCGCGCGCACCGGAGACACUAUUGAACUCUGUCUGAAGAUUGCAGUCUGAGCAUAAACUAAAUAAGUUAAAACUUUCAACAACGGAUCUCUUGGUUCCGGCAUCGAUGAAGAACGCAGCGAAAUGCGAUAACUAAUGUGAAUUGCAGAAUUCAGUGAAUCAUCGAGUCUUUGAACGCACAUUGCGCCCCCUGGUAUUCCGGGGGGCAUGCCUGUCCGAGCGUCAUUGCUGCCCUCAAGCACGGCUUGUGUGUUGGGCUCCGUCCCCCCGGGGACGGGUCCGAAAGGCAGCGGCGGCACCGAGUCCGGUCCUCGAGCGUAUGGGGCUUUGUCACCCGCUCUGUAGGCCCGGCCGGCGCCAGCCGACAACCAAUCAUCCUUUUUUCAGGUUGACCUCGGAUCAGGUAGGGAUACCCGCUGAACUUAAGCAUAUCAAUAAGCGGAGGAAAAGAAACCAACAGGGAUUACCUCAGUAACGGCGAGUGAAGCGGUAAGAGCUCAAAUUUGAAAGCUGGCUCCUUCGGGGUCCGCAUUGUAAUUUGCAGAGGAUGUUUCGGGAGCAGCCCCCAUCUAAGUGUCCUGGAACGGACCGUCAUAGAGGGUGAGAAUCCCGUAUGGGGAUGGGGUGUCUGCGCCCAUGUGAAACUCCUUCGACGAGUCGAGUUGUUUGGG